AAGUCACCAGUCAUUUACCAGGAAAUUUCCAGCCUUACCUUCAGGCUUCCCAAGAAAUCAGAUAGGCACCUGCUGAAACUUAGUGGCUACUGUAAGUCAGUAAGGCACUUUUCCCCCACAAGUGGGCUGCAGGAAAAGGAACGGAUCUGCAGCUCCAUCAAGGGUGUGUAUGUAUUGAUGGCUUCGUAAAACCAGAGCCAAGAACGGGUCUCACAGCCCAGCCACGUUUAAAAGCGGAGCAUGUUCCGGCUUGAGGACUCUUUUGUGCUGUUGAGAAUCCAGAAGCAUCAAAAGCCACAUGGUAUACGGAAGCUAUAACACCUCCUGGGGCUUCCCUACACUAUUUCGUACAAAUAGAUAAGCAUGCCGCAGCUGUUGACCACCACCUGGAGUCUGCACUGAGAGAAGCCUAUGUGUGCGGUGUGCAC
rnacentral:lncRNA from 1 species